rnacentral:rRNA from 1 species
UACGUAGGGUGCAAGCGUUAAUCGGAAUUACUGGGCGUAAAGCGUGCGCAGGCGGUUAUGCAAGACAGAUGUGAAAUCCCCGGGCUCAACCUGGGAACUGCAUUUGUGACUGCAUGGCUAGAGUACGGUAGAGGGGGAUGGAAUUCCGCGUGUAGCAGUGAAAUGCGUAGAUAUGUGGAGGAACACCGAUGGCGAAGGCAGCCCCCUGGGCCAAUACUGACGCUCAUGCACGAAAGCGUGGGGAGCAAACAGG